rnacentral:rRNA from 1 species
GAAACCGUUCAGGGGUAAACCUGAGAAACCCAAAAGAUCGAAUGGGGAGAUUCAUCGUCAACGAGGCUGGCUCCCGUUGGUGCGCGAUGCCCCGAAUGUGGGCCCUCGUGGUUCCAUGGCGAGGGCACGCCACCUUCGGCCUGAACGUUCCGGCAACGUAGUCGUGCACUUCUCCCCUAGUAGAACGUCGCGACCCGUUGCGCGUCGGUCUACGGCCCGAGUUUUUGACGUCUGUCGCGUCGCUUCUGCGCACGCGGCAAGCCCUCGGUCGCCCGGCCGGCUGCGCGACGGUACUCGCACGGUAUCGGGCCGCAACCAAUCACAUUCUCGAAUGUGCGUGUGCGUCAGGCCCGCCGCAAGCUCGGUCAGUUUUACCCGGAGGUGCGGACCUGGUGCCGUCCCCGGGCCUGACCAGCUGUUAGCAGGCGGUGUCCUCGGACUGGCCAAGCUUCGAAUUACCGGUCGGCGACGCUACUGCUUUGGGUACUCUCAGGACCCGUCUUGAAACACGGACCAAGGAGUCUAACAUUUGCGCGAGUCAUUGGGAUGAUAUAAAACCUAAAGGCGAAAUGAAAGUGAAGGUCGGCCUCCGCGUCGACCUAGGGAGGAUGGGCCGCGUUACGAUGCGGCCCCGCACUCCCGGGGCGUUUUCGAUCUCAUUGCGAGAAGAGGCGCACCUAGAGCGUACACGUUGGGACCCGAAAGAUGGUGAACUAUGCCUGGUCAGGACGAAGUCAGGGGAAACCCUGAUGGAGGUCCGUAGCGAUUCUGACGUGCAAAUCGAUCGUCGGAACUGGGUAUAGGGGCGAAAGACUAAUCGAACCAUCUAGUAGCUGGUUCCCUCCGAAGUUUCCCUCAGGAUAGCUGGCACUCGCUCGUUCCUCUGUGAACGCGUGCGAGUCUCAUCUGGUAAAGCGAAUGAUUAGAGGCCUUGGGGCCGAAACGACCUCAACCUAUUCUCAAACUUUAAAUGGGUGAGAUCUCUGGCUUGCUUGGAUUAUGAAGCCACGAGAUUUUGGAUCAGAGUGCCAAGUGGGCCAAUUUUGGUAAGCAGAACUGGCGCUGUGGGAUGAACCAAACGCAGAGUUAAGGCGCCUAAGUCGACGCUUAUGGGAUACCAUGAAAGGCGUUGGUUGCUUAAGACAGCAGGACGGUGGCCAUGGAAGUCGGAA